CCCAGUGACCUAACGUUUAACGGCCGCGGUAUCCUAACCGUGCAAAGGUAGCGCAAUCAAUUGUCCCAUAAAUCGAGACUAGUAUGAAUGGCUAAACGAGGUCUUAACUGUCUCUUACAGGAAAUCGGUGAAAUUGAUCUCCCUGUGCAAAAGCAGGGAUAAAACCAUAAGACGAGAAGACCCUGUGGAACUUUAAAAUCAGCGGCCACCCUAAACUACCUCCACACCCACCGGGUUCACACCACACAAACUGCUGGCCCGCAUUUUUCGGUUGGGGCGACCUUGGAGAAAAACAGAUCCUCCAAAAAUUGGACCAUACCUCUAGACUAAGAGCAACCCCUCAACGUGCUAAUAGCAACCAGACCCAAUAUAAUUGAUCAAUGGACCAAGCUACCCCAGGGAUAACAGCGCAAUCUCCUCCGAGAGUCCAUAUCGACGAGGAGGUUUACGACCUC
rnacentral:rRNA from 1 species